rnacentral:lncRNA from 1 species
AGUUGUUAUUUGCUUAUAAUAUUUGUCCAUAUGGACUUCAAAAGAUACAAUGACCUGCAAUGAAAUCACAUCCAUUCUUUGUGAAAAUUAAUAUAGAGAAAUGUAAAACCAGGUAGAAAGAAGAGGCAAAAUGAUUAUAGAUUCAUGAGUAAUUUUAUUAAAUAUAAACUCUACUAGUACUUUAUUAUUUUUUUAAAGAUUUUAUUUAUUUAUUCAUUCAUGAGAGACAGAGAGAGAGAGGCAGAGACACAAGCAGGCUCCAUGCAGGGAGCCUGACACGGGACUCGAUUUCGGGACCCCUGGGCCUAAGGCAGGCGCCAAACUGCUGAGCCACCCGGGAAUCCCUCUAUUAGUACUUUAAUCCUUCCUCAAAGUUAACCACUCACUACACUGACUUCAGUUGUAAUUUUAAUUUUAAAGGAGCAUGAAUAUAUUUAACAUAGCAAAGAAAUACGAUAAUGAGAAUUAAUUCAAUUAAAUUAAAAUUCACUACCUCUCAAAAUCUUAGGAUUUAGUAAAAGUCAUAGAAUUCUUUUCUGCCUCCAGAAAAGAGAUACCCAGACUGACUGCACAAAUAAUUGGCAUUUUCUAGAGGAUGUUUCAGGUUUUCUACUGCAUCCUCCACACUCAGAAGAAACCAGCUAAGCACUUCCCCAGUCACUAAAGACUUGGAAGCAGAGCUGAAGGUGACAGCCAAAGUGUUCUCCAUGGCCAGAAAAUGCAGACAAAAAGCUGCUUUUUCAUCUCCUUUGGACUACUGGGACAUAGGAGGAAAGAAGUCUGAGAUCACUGUACCUAGGAAGGAGGAGAAGUGAGCAAAGAAGUGACCACAGCUGCACUUUCUCCUCUCUUGUAAGCCGGGGAGCUUCUGCAGCCUGAAGGAGGACUUCACUAUAGAGACGUCUACUGGAUUCUCACCUGGCAGGUAGGACUAGACGGCCUCCUCCUGUCUAGCAAGGAGAUCCACACAGAGAAAGGGGCAC